UACGUAGGGGACAAGCGUUGUCCGGAUUUACUGGGCGUAAAGAGCGCGCAGGCGGUCGAUCAAGUCGGGUGUGAAAGCCCCCGGCUCAACUGGGGAGGGUCAUUCGAUACUGAUCGACUCGAAGGCAGGAGAGGGAUGUGGAAUUCCAGGUGUAGCGGUGAAAUGCGUAGAUAUCUGGAGGAACACCGGUGGCGAAGGCGGCAUCCUGGACCGAGAUUGACGCUGAUGCGCGAAAGCCAGGGGAGCAAACGGG
rnacentral:rRNA from 1 species